UGUCUUUGGCUGGUCAGACCCAACCAAGUGCCCUAAAGUGCAACAUUCCCUGGGUCCGCUCUACCAAGUACCACACAAGGGAUUGGCAUGUUUUGGUACCUUCACUUAUGAUUAACAUUGACCCAUUUUACUUUAUAUUGCAGUGGCCUAGGAAAGUGCCUACAGUCAGCGACUGGACCUCAUCUUAGAGAGAAGUAAAAAAUUAAAACUCAUUUAAUUCAGGCCCUUGCAGUUGUCAGUCAGAAGUUUUGCUUGCAGCUGAGUGAUGUUCAGAUGCCAUAGGCAAUAUGGCCAACCUAUGCAGUUUCACAUGGUUCUGGCUUUGACUCUCAUUGCUGUUUCAUCCUAGGUUUGCGAUGCUGCUCCAUUGCCAGGGUGCACGUAGCUCCACAGGAUCAAUGGCGAGGAGAGCCUGUUUCACAGACUGGCUUCUGGCAGGUGUUUCACAUGUGGUCAGCUCAGACCAUUACUUGGCACUGAAUGUGACUCAGAGUGUGUCCCUCGCUGCACUGGGCAGUGCAUAGGCAUGUGCAUCUGGGCAAAACAGGUGCAAACCACUGCCAUUCCUAUGUGGAAAUGACCCUGCUCAAGCACCGGGGGCUGUGUCACUUGAGGUGUUCUACCUCCAUGAAGAAUCGUGCCUUGGGCUUCUUUUCAGUCACCUGCUUGGGUGAAGGGGAGUUUGUUUUAAUGUGUAAGGUUGAAAACUUCUGUGGUUUAGGAGUUGCUUCACAUGCAGCUCAGCUGUCACAGCUCAGUAGCAGCUGCCUCCAGGGGAAGGGGAGAGUGGAAAGUGAAGCACAGACACCCUACAGCUGUAGGACUCUACUUGUGUGGCUUUGCUUUUUCCUGCUUUUGUAGAACAGUGCAAGAUUUAUGUAUUUCAGUAUCUGCCGUGUGCACAUAUUACUGAUUUGUUAAAAGCCUGCUGGUUACUCCCCUUCAUCUCUUGCACCCAACUACUCUUUAUCCUAAUUUGGUGUUUGGAAAAAUCUUGUCACCCCAAUUACAUUAGCAGAAGGUGAAGGUAAACAAGAAGGAAACAAGAACAACAGCAUAUAUCCCAUGCUGGUAGAUUACUUGUUCUUUUCCUGUGGAACAACUGUGGAUGUUUUUCUUAUUUAAAAAAAAAAAAAAAGAAAGAAAGAAAAAAACCCAACCAACCCCCAAACCUCUGGAUAACUACCAGCUUCAGCUACACCAGCCAUACCCAGCUGUAUGCACGCAGCUGAGUGAUGCCCUUCCAGAGCAGGGCACAUUCCAGUCACUUGGCUCUUUGGGAUUAACUGUCCCUUUCAUCAAGUUGGCUUGGACUACUGUUGCUGUUGAUCAUGCAAUGCAAAUCUUCCUGAGAAAGACUCUCAGGCUAUUGAUUACAAAAAAAAGCCAUUUUGACAACCAUAACUAAAAUACAAACCCUCAGUGUUGUGGGCAGUUGUUGCCAUAGAUAGGAACUGUGUUAUUGAUCACAGCCAGAUAUGAAAAUAUGCACCCUUUGCACCACAUGACGUUGAAUAUCUAGUGUAGCAAGAUGAAAGUUACCACUUAUGCCAACUGGGGGAAAGAGCUCUGCCAGAAUGUGGGAGGACAUAAUUUAUCUAACAUCCUACCUAACACUAAAGGCUGAGAACAACAAGCAGGAGGAGAAUUACGACACUUCUGCUUGUGAAACAUCAUGCCUGAGAAGCAGAAGGGUGUGGAUUUAUCCCCACCUCACUUUAGGUGUCUAAAUGAAGCAUCUAAGUCAGGAGCACAGUUGUGCCAGGCACUUCUUCAGAAAGAGAAGUGGUUAAGAUUUUAGGAGGGAUAAAUUGCUUUCUAGAGGCACCUCCCUCUCUCUCAACCACAGAACACCACACAGAGCUACACUCCUCACCUCCUCACUGGCUCCAGUGAGGGAACUGGGUGGCAGAAACACUGCCUGAAGGGAAGAUACUGGUAGUUGUUUGGGACUGCUCUUAAGGAAGGGAAGGGGGAAAUUCUAAGUGAUUGGCUCAGGGUUUCUGUAUGAGGGGACAGCCACAGCCAGCAGCAGUCAGCAUGUACAGCAGAUCCUGUUAUCUCCUGCGCAGAGCUGUGCUUCAGAAGAAGGUUGUGCUGGUAUAGUCCCCAUGAGGAGCCUGUGUGCACCUUCCUCACUACUGCACUGGCACAUGUGUUUUGGACAGACCUAGUGCUUGCUCAGACAUUGGAUGGCAGUGAACACAUGGAUGCUUGAGGAUUUGCACAUUGCAACGGCAGAACUCACAAG